AGCCCCCUCGUCUAGCGGUUAAGGAUGGCAGGCUCUGAACCUGCAGACACUGGUUCGAAUCCGGUGGGGGCUA
rnacentral:tRNA from 1 species